rnacentral:ncRNA from 1 species
CGACAAUAGAGUAGCAGGGUGGUGUCUCCUGCGCCUGCUUUCGCAGGUUCUUCCCAGCCACGG